CCUAUUGUAGUUAUUGUCGUUAGACUUCCAUUUAGCUCCGAAGGAUGGGGUGGCUGAAUUUUGGUGCAAAAUCCGCAGUUUAUUUUUCCCCUUCGUGUAAAGUGAAUCAACAACGCCUCUCUCCUUGCCAACCACCAUUUCUUCUACUUAUCAAACCAUGGAUAUUGUGAGCUUUUCCCGCCAUUGAAUUCGCCUUGAAGGAGAUAUUUCCAUUAAACGAAGGUGACUUGAUUCCCACUGCUGCUGAUCAGACACCAGAGCAGCUCUGUUGCUCGUUUAUGGCGGAAUUUCGAAACUGCGAAUGGAAAAUUCGACUCCCAUCAUCACUGUCUACUGAAGUCGACUAACUACAAGAUGCCGAGAACGGAGGACAUUCUCAAACUUCAGGUGCAAGAUCCUCCAUGCUUGGAGUUCUCUGCUGCUCAUGUAAAGUGGGAAAAAGUAGAAGGAGGUCGUCAAGGUGGUGCUGAUAUUGCUGUGGUCCCAUUUUCAAGAGUUGAGGAUUUCGUGAAAGGAGAAUCUUCCAAUCCAGAAUCACCGGCUCGCUUUCGCAUUGAAUCAAGAAGGAAACGAACUGCAGGGAGUGUCAGCAAACCAAGGGUUGAUGGUUAUCUCGAAUAUAUAUUGUACUGGUGUUCUUAUGGUCCAGAAGAUUACCGAGUAAGUGAAGCAGGUGUUAGGAGUAGCUCAAUCAUAAAACCUGCAUCUGGGAAGGGCAGCAGACCAGGAAGACGUCACAUGAUGAGAGGCUGCCUCUGCCACUUUACUGUUAAGCGCCUAUAUGCACAGCCACAUCUUGCUCUCAUAAUAUAUAACCAAAGAAAGCAUAUUGAUAAGUCUGGAGCCCCUUGCCAUGGGAUACUUGACCGUGAUGCUGUUGGGACAAGAGCUAUGUAUACUCAGAGAAUUUCUGAGGAAUUACGUCAAAAGAUUAUGUCCAUGCUGUAUGUUGGAAUACCUAUUGAGAAUAUUGUUCAGCACCAUUCAGAGGUUGUACAGAGGCAUGGGGGACCCCCAAAUCGUGAUGAUUUUCUUUCUCGUAUUGACGUCCGUAACAUGGAGAGAGUUAUUCGUAAUUCUUCACACGAGCUUCAUACAAAUGAUGAUUGUAGUGUGAAAAUAUGGGUGCAACGACAUAGGAAAGUCAUUUUUUUCUUUCAAGAGAGCAGUGAUUGUGAGCGUUUUGUCUUGGGCAUUCAGACAGAUUGGCAGCUACAACAGAUGUUGCGUUAUGGACAUAAUGGCUCUGUUGCUUCUCAUUCAACACUUGGAUCAAAGAAACUACGGUUUCCACUAUGUAGUUUACUCGUUUUUGACUCAUCUCAAAAUACCAUUCCCGUUGCUUGGAUCAUUGCAUCCUCGUUUGUUGAUCAAGACAUUCGUAAAUGGCUUGGAUUGCUAGUUGAAAGACUGCAUGCGAAGGAUCCUACAUGGAAAAUUGAUACCUUUUUAUUAGACAAUCCUUCUUUUGAGGUUUCUACUAUAAGGGAGGUUUUUCAAUGUCAGGUUCUAUUAUGCAUAUGGCAUGUUCGUCGCAGUUGGAUUAGAAAUAUUCUUAAGAAGUGUCCUAAUUUGGAUGUUCAAAGAGAGAUGUUUAAGCAAUUAGGGAAAGUUUUGUAUUGCACAAGAAUUGGGCUAGGUUUUGCGUAUGCAGUUGAGCAGUUCAAGCGAAGAUUUUCUGAUCAGUGUGUUUUCGUUGAUUAUCUCACAAGAACGUGGUUACCGGACAUAGAAUUGUGGGUAAAUAGUUUACGGUCGCAUCCUGUUUCCACUUUGGAGGCUAAUGCAGCGAUUGAAGCAUACCAUAUAAGAUUAAAAUCCAAGCUUUUCAAAGAGCAAAGCAACAGUUCCUCAUCAAGAGUUGACUGGCUGAUUCACAUUCUUACAACUCAGUUUCACUCCUCAUAUUGGUUAGACCAAUACAGUCUAGAUACUGGAUAUUUUGGGAGUUUUAGAGAUAAGUCCAUCUUAACUAAUGCGUGGAACAAGGCAUUACACAUCCCAGAUGUUGAUGUUAUAGUAGAUGAGUCAAAUCUCCAGUUUGCAAAAGUAAUCUCUCAGUCCAAAAGGAAUCUGGAAUAUACAAUUUGGGAUCCUGGUUCGGAGUUCUCAUUAUGUGAUUGUCCAUGGUCAAGGAUGGGAAAUCUUUGUGAACAUGUCAUCAAGGUUUCAUUGUUAUGUAAAAGACAGCAAGCUGCAAGGCCAUUGGUAGCUGCUCAAGUUUAUCAGGAUCGUGUUCCGAACUUUCAGCUCAACCCUGUUACUUUUGACCAUGGAAUGCCACUUGUCAAUUGCGUACAACGAGGAAAAGGCUUGGAGAACUUGUCAGAUAGUGGCUUGGACCAGCCCGUACAUCUUGAUACUAAUGUUCAAUUGAAAGAUAAUGUUCUCUUUUAUGCCCAAUACAAGUAAUUUCCAAGCCUGGUAGCCUGGGCUUGGUAAAUUGAAUAUUGAAUUGGGAAAUUGAGGGAAAGAUUGUGAUCUAAAUUAUAUCCGCCUCCCCCCCUCCACGUUACAAGUAACUUUAUGGUUUUUAACGAAAAAAGACAUAUAGGCUUUUUUAUCUGAAGAGGGAAACGAGUGGGUUUCUCUGGAGCAGCUUGAUACAAACUAUACUGAAUUCUCAACAUUAUGUUCAGUUAAGAGGACGCUGGCAAAGUCAAUCUGUGGAAGGCUUCCAAAUUGAAGCCAGCUUGAUAGGUAUCCUGUAAUUGCUCCUCAUUUGCUCGCAUGACUGGUAUGAAAAAUAGAUCUGAACAGAACUUUUAAAGGACAAAUUUGUGACAAGCAAUCAGAUCAUGGGAAAGAACGGAAUGGUAGUAUCAUCUUUCUCGACUUCAAGACUAAUCCUAUCCCUUUCUCAAUUUUACGUUGUCAACUGAAAGCUCGAAUAACCAGAACUCGGAGAAAAAGAAUAGGAACAGAAAGUAAAGAAGAGAAAAACAGACAAGCACCCCCUCCAAAUAAGAGAAAAACCCUUGAAAAAUCUUCUUUACUACAUAUUUUUUCAUGUUUUUGACUUCUCGGUUAAUACUGGAAUAACGCAGUCCCAAAGGUGGAAAAAACAUGGGCAACAUUCCUCUAUCCAUGGUGGUGUUAUGGAUGCUGAAAGCUGAAGUGCUGCAAAGGGGAAAAAGUACAAGAUAUUUUGAUAGUUAAUGGUAGAAUUGAUGUGAUGGCAGAGAUAUGUAUUAUGACAUUCAUUUGUAGCGACAGGUGGUUAGCUGGAGCUGGAGUUCAGUGGCGGUCGUGGGGAAUAUUCAAUGCACGGUUGUAGAGUUGGCGGCGGUGGUGGUUCUUAUAGGGAAAGUAGGGUGGUGAAAGGGUGGCAUUGAACUGGAGGUGGGGGUAAAUUAUAAUGGAAGCUUGGUGGGGGAGAUGAUAAAUAUAGGAGGGUGGAGGUGGUGGUGAUGGAUCGUUUACUAGAGACGGUGUACUUUUGCAAUAAAUUGGCAGUGAGGAGAUGGUAAUGUGAAAAAUGAUGCUUGGUCACGGCAAUAUUGAAGGUAAGGAGGUGAUGGUGGAGGAGAGGGCGGGGAAGGAGAUAGUCGAGGUGAAGGAAAAAAGGCUGAAAGUGGUUUACAAGAAAUUUUAAUCAACAGGUUUGGACAGAGAUACUUUAAAUUGCAACGUUGAUUGCUUUGGUUUAGCUCACAAACAAUCCUGCUGUUGUUGACUGUCCAAACCCUGACAUGCUGCCGGCUUGCCCAGUGAAAAGUUUGUGCUGUAAACUAAAUUUCAGCAGCUUGAAAAGCUUGCAGACAGUGACAGCUUAUUCUGUAUCUCAUCGAGCCCAAUCAACUUGGAACUGAUCCCCCGAGAUUAUAAAGAAAAGCUGCCAUCGAAUACAACUGUUUGUCGGGAUUACUUCAUUCUGGUACAUGUUGCGACAAUAAAACAUCCACGAAACUUGUUGGCAACAAGCACAGAAACUGGUAAAUUUUUAACAUUAUCAGGCGGUACUAAGGCAAAUUAAUUGUGGUUUAUAAAAAUGGUAUUUGAAAUUGUUUGAUAGUACGAGGGUCCAUCACAAAACCAAUUGAUCAUAAAACCAAUUGGUAAUAAGAGGAGUAACUCAUCUAUCUUAUAAGGAGUGUGAGUCUUCUUGGUUUGUCCGACGUAAGACUCACAACAUCUCCAGCAGAAAUCUUUGUGCGGAAUUAUAUAUAUAAUUAAAUUUAUCUUUACACACUAGCUUAAGCUGUGAAUGGGUGAUUUAAGACUUUGUCAUAAAAGAGAUUGGGUUACCCACCUUCAAACUGAUUGAACUGAAGGCCAAGAUACUUAUGACUCGGAAAAUUAUGAACAACCGGUCGUUACUGAUUUGAAGCACAAGAGGAGCGAUUUUAAAACUGAUUUGAAAUUGUGGAAAAUGGAAGUAUAAGAUAGAAGUUGUAGUAAUUCAGGAAGAUAUUCAGCGAUGUUCCCAUUGAAACUGCUUUGAGAUAAUGGUAGUAUCUGAUAGAAAGUGUAGCUCUUCAAGAGCUUUGGAGCAAAGCACUCCAUUCAGUUAUGUUUUGCUGGUUUGAGAUAACGAUGGCUUGGUUCCAAACCUGUACGGUUUAUAGUAGUGUCUGUGGAUUAUAAUGGCGCAAGAAAGGUUGUAACGAGAACGGUAAA